CUUAAACCGGAGCCGUCGCGCUCAUUAUCCAGUCAGUGUGCGGCAGCCUCCCAUUGAAUCCCGUGUGCUGCGGCGUGGACCUCAAGAGUAUUCUCCCAUUCAGCAAAACACACAAAGCAGUGUUUCCAUCCAGUGUGUUUAGGAGUACACACUAGUCAUGUCUGGAGGAACUGAAGUUGGAUAAUUUUGAUGUCAGUCUUUCACUGUAGAAUGACUACAGUUUUGAGAUGGAAUACAAAGCUCUGCUGUUAUUUUCUUCACUAAGGAAAUUUUAUUAGCAUUAAAAGAUUGUGGUUGCUGUAUGGAAGAAGAAGAAGAAGAAGAAGAAGAAGAAGAAGAAGAAGAAGAAGAAGAAGAAGAAGAAGAAAGGACAACAUAUUGAGAUGAGCAAACUAAAAAUCACGGUUCGAUUUCGGAUAAGCUCUAAAACACAAUGAAAUGGUUUAAAUCACAUGAGUUCUGAUGACAGUUUAUAAAACAGAUCUAGUCCUUGACACCUGUGACCUCAUUGCAUCAGUAUUACUGUGCCACUGUGUCAUUGUGUUACUUGGCAAACAUUCUGCUAUCAAAAUUACAUUUCUUGGCUGGACAAAUAAUAUUUAUUGUAUUUGACAAAUAAAUGCUGCUGUGUGUUUACUUCAUUAAUAAAAUAAACAUUAACAAU